CUCACCAUUGAUUGACCGGUGACAUUGGAAUUCAUUCUGAGCACUUACAGAGGGAUCUGCAGAUCUCAGAUUAUUCUUUCACAUAGGACUGAUUGCCUCUGGAGAACUGAAGUAUUCAGUCAUCCAUGGACGCUGCAUCUCCUAUGGACAGCAACAGCCUGGUCGCUAAGGGGCAGAGUCUCCAUCCUUUAAAAUGACAUAAUCCAGUGGGAAGACAGAUGUCUAAGUGUUAUCCCGGUUACUAUGGAACAGCAGAGAAAUUACAUUUUGGGGCAACCUAGAAGGACCUAACUAUUCAUAAAGAAGUAAGGCCUUUGCACCUUUCAGGAGGUACCAGGCUUUCACGGCACCAUAAUGGCUCCAUGUGACAACAUUGCCACCCUCUGGUGAGGAAGAAUCUUUAUGGUCCCUGACUGGGCUCUGGGCCAGGGGACCGCUGAUGCUGUUGAAUACAAGUCAGAGUUUGAAGCACCCUGCAAUACAGGAACAAGUAAAGAUGCCUCUCUAAAGGAUACUUUUUUUUUCUUAUUUUGGGGUAUUUAUUUAUUGAUUAAUUAAAUGAUUACUCAAUUUUUAAAAGAGA